rnacentral:rRNA from 1 species
GACGAACCGAGCGAACGUUAUUCGGAAUCACUGGGCUUAAAGGGCGCGUAGGCGGGCUAUCAAGUCUGGGGUGAAAUCCCGCGGCUCAACCGUGGAACUGCCUCAGAUACUGACGGCCUAGAGGAAGGUAGGGGCAUGCGGAACUAACGGUGGAGCGGUGAAAUGCGUUGAUAUCGUUAGGAACUCCGGUGGCGAAAGCGGCGUGCUGGACCUUUUCUGACGCUGAGGCGCGAAAGCUAGGGGAGCAAACGGG